GUGGGGAAUUUUGGACAAUGGGCGAAAGCCUGAUCCAGCCAUGCCGCGUGCAGGAAGAAGGCCUUCGGGUUGUAAACUGCUUUUGUACGGAACGAAACGGUCCGGGUUAAUACCCUGGGCUAAUGACGGUACCGUAAGAAUAAGCACCGGCUAACUACGUGCCAGCAGCCGCGGUAAUACGUAGGGUGCAAGCGUUAAUCGGAAUUACUGGGCGUAAAGCGUGCGCAGGCGGUUUUGUAAGACAGGCGUGAAAUCCCCGGGCUCAACCUGGGAAUUGCGCUUGUGACUGCAAGGCUGGAGUGCGGCAGAGGGGGAUGGAAUUCCGCGUGUAGCAGUGAAAUGCGUAGAUAUGCGGAGGAACACCGAUGGCGAAGGCAAUCCCCUGGGCCUGCACUGACGCUCAUGCACGAAAGCGUGGGGAGCAAACAGGAUUAGAAACCCGAGUAGUCC
rnacentral:rRNA from 1 species